rnacentral:rRNA from 1 species
AUACGGAGGAUCCGAGCGUUAUCCGGAUUUAUUGGGUUUAAAGGGUGCGCAGGCGGGAGAUUAAGUCGGCGGUGAAAUUUUGCAGCUCAACUGUAAAAGUGCCUUCGAAACUGGUUUCCUUGAGUGUAGAUGAAGUAGGCGGAAUUUGUGGUGUAGCGGUGAAAUGCAUAGAUAUCACGAGGAACUCCGAUUGCGCAGGCAGCUUACUAAACUACUACUGACGCUCAGGCACGAAGGCGUGGGGAUCAAACAGGAUUAGAUACCCUGGUAGUCCACGCAGUAAACGAUGAUUACUAGCUGUUUGCGAUACAAUGUAAGCGGCUGAGCGAAAGCGUUAAGUAAUCCACCUGGGGUGUACGUUCGCAAGAAUGAAACUCAAAUGAAUUGACGGGG